GACGAACGCUGGCGGCGUGCUUAACACAUGCAAGUCGAACGCUGAAGCUUGGUGCUUGCCCUGGGUGGAUGAGUGGCGAACGGGUGAGUAAUACGUGAGUAACCUGCCCUUGACUCUGGGAUAAGCCUGGGAAACUGGGUCUAAUACUGGAUACGACAUGUCACCGCAUGGUGGUGUGUGGAAAGGGUUUUACUGGUUUUGGACGGGCUCACGGCCUAUCAGCUUGUUGGUGGGGUAAUGGCUCACCAAGGCGACGACGGGUAGCCGGCCUGAGAGGGUGACCGGCCACACUGGGACUGAGACACGGCCCAGACUCCUACGGGAGGCAGCAGUGGGGAAUAUUGCACAAUGGGCGGAAGCCUGAUGCAGCGACGCCGCGUGAGGGAUGACGGCCUUCGGGUUGUAAACCUCUUUCAGCACGGAAGAAGCGAAAGUGACGGUACGUGCAGAAGAAGCGCCGGCUAACUACGUG
rnacentral:rRNA from 1 species